CGCUGGUUUCUUCCUGUCAGCGUGGCUGCGAGCGAGCGAGCAGCCGGGAGAGGUGAGCAGAAGCCGGGGUCGAGAGAGGGACCGUGAGCGGCGACCAUCGAUGAAGGGCAGACUGAUAUCACACCGGUGACACUAAUACACCUGCACCAUCCCCUCGUGUGACCCUUGGUCAGGCUCAUAUAAAUAUGACUUAAAGAAUUGCCAUGCUUGACCUGAUAAUCAGAAGCGAUGAUGGAAACCGCACAAAACCUGGCUACAGCAACGAAGUCUUGAACAUGGACCACUCUACUUCCAUGUCACCGGCCAACCUUGGGCCUUGAGAGAGGUUUCUUUGGCAGUGCGACUUGAAGGUCUUCUCCAAAGAAGGGCACCCUCCAUCCUGCUUAUCAUUGUGGGAAGGUAAUUGUUUUGAUUUUUGAGGAAGAAAUGCAAACAGCAUGGUAUUUUAUGGUAAAUCUGUCUGGAGUAGAGAGGUCUCAAAAACUGAGUGACUGUGGGAGAAGAAGAUAUGAGUGGGAAACCACUUAGACACCUGUGACAACCCUGCAUCACCCGACACACUUUCACGGUGGAGUGGAACAAAGAAGGAUUUCCUGAAAAAGAAGACGAGAAAGUUUGCUAGAAGAAAGCUGGUAGGCUCCAGCGUACUUUUGAUCUUUUGACCCUGCCACAGGUCCAAGACUAAAUGUCACAUCAGACAAGACGGGACAAAAUAUAUUCAUCAACCACCAUUUUUUUUCAUCAUGAAAACCAAAUGAUGAUACCAAACAAUGAUUUCCCCAUUUUGGCAAUGCAAAUGUGCGCUGUUUAUUUUGCAUGUUCUUUCUACAUCUUAAUCGCUUGUCGUAGUUGUGAUGUAUUGGUACUUCAUCUUGUGUCACACCACACCACCAGGUGGCGCCCUCUUACCUACAAUAUGUAUUGUGCCGGAAGUAGAAUAAACCAGUGUGAAAGUACCCAGCUCAGAGUCCGGUCAUGUUUGUGUGAGCUCCAAUAUUUGGCAAGAUA